GAGUGAGGGUGGCGGGCAGGGCGGGGGUCCCUGCGGGCUCCGGUGCCUCGGGCGCCCCUCAGUGGCCUUCGCUCAGCUCCUGAGCUGCCUGGAGUAGCUGUGGGCACGCUCACCCGGUGGCGCUCCUUACCCCUAAACACAGGACUGGGGCUGUGCAGACCCAGCUAAGGGCGAGAGUCAGAAGGGGGCCUGGCCUUAAGCCUCCUGCUGCCUUCAGCCCAAAUCUGCAUUUCAUGACAGGAUUAACCACCUGUUGGAAACCAGGGCCUCCCCUCCCGAACCUUGGGUGGUACAGCAUCUUGGUCCCUCUGCCCUCCCCCACCCAGGAUUGCCCCCGUUGCUUCCUGAGGGACCCCUCUGCUCUGACCUGGGAGCCCCAGGUAGACCUCCAGCAGCACCCGUAGACCUCCAGCAUGGGGACACCUGUGCCCUUCCUCCCGGAGAGGGCUCGGCCCCAAGUCCAUGCCCAGGCCUCAGCCCCUCUCGCCAGUGCUGCUGACUGAGUGGCCCACCCGGGGACCCUGGACUCUAUGGCAAACACAUCCUUCAUCCCACCGCCCAAGCCCACCCUGCGUUCUGGGCAGCAUCUCUGUCAGCUGUGCCGCCCCAAACCCGGGAGGCGGGCCCCUGAGUCCGGUCUCUCAGAGUACCUGUCUGCCCUCCCCUCAGGACAGAUGAGCCUCGCCUCUGCCCAAAGCCUGCUGCCCACCCCUUCACCUGCCCGGGCUGCCCCCACAGACCCUCCAAAUUAGAGGGAAGCCAAGCCCUCCCAGGACGCAGGCCCCUCCCUGACCUCCGAGCCUCCUUUUGGGAACCUCUGCUUUCUACCCUCAGCUCCCGAGGAGCUCGCUCUCAUGCCCCCUCCCCUCCUCCACGCCUCCACUGGAUUUAUUCUCUGGUUGACUGCUGCCUCCACGGGAGCAUCUGCCCCGUGAGUGAGGUGCUCCACAAAGCCCAUGAGGCUCAUGGCUGCAUCCCCAGCUCCCGACACACUGCCCGGCACCCAGAGCAUUCAGGAGAUACUGGUUGGGGGGGUGGACAGACGGAUGGACAGAUGGGUGGGUGGGCAGGUGGUGAGUGAGUGGGUGGGUCGGUGGGUGCAUCUCCCAACAGCUGUCUGUGUUGGGGUCCCAUGAGGCUGGAGCGGUAUGACUGUUCCUCGGGCUUGCUCCCCAGUUUCUUGCUGAUGGGAGUGACCAUCUGGUGUAGUGGAGGGCGCGGGUUCAAGUCGGGCUCCGCUGGGCCUCCAGCCUCAAGCGUUGUUGUGAGCACCAGGGUCAGGGGUGGGGGAGGCCACCAGGGGUGUGGCCUGGUGCCGUGGUCCAUGCUGGGCUCAGCCGUGUCCAGGUUUCUGCCCCAGCCCCAUUCUCAGCCUCUGGUCCUGGAGACAGAGUCAGCGCAACAAGAGCAGGGUUACCUCCAGCUCAGCACAGGGCUCCUGGGUGGAGCCUGUAGGAAGAGUGGCCGCUUUGAAGACUGUGCCCUUGCAUUCCACAGGAAGGCCACGUUCCCACCAGAACGGCAUGUGCUGGGGCACCCAGUGACCCUCCGGUCACGUCACCCUCGGGGACUCUCACCAGGAGCCUGUCCUGAGGGCUCCCAGCACUUCUCCCUGGAGGAGCUGCUUCCGGGACCCAGGAGGCAGUUCAGAGGGCAGAAGAGCGGAGUGUCACCGUGUGGGCUUAUGGAUUCAGAAGGAAUGCUGACAUCACCGUUGGCCGCUGGGCGGUGUGCUGCAAUGGGCUGCAGCACCCCUCACUCCAGAGAUACCAAUGUGCACCCGGAAGACUUAAGAACAGCGCCCCCUGGAGUUGUGCUCCCUCCAUGGCUGGGGACCAGAUGUGCCCAGAGGGCUGGCUGUGCUUGGGGGGGUGUGGGGGGCGUCUGCAGGAGUGUGAUGGUCUGAAAACUGCCCCUCUCUUGCCACCACCGGGCCGCCCCGAGCCUCCCCAACCUGGUCCCGCCCCGUGGGUGACCCGUGGGUUUGUGGGCACACACGCUGUCUCGGUCUGCUUGUGCGGCCAGGAAAAAGCGGCACAGACUCGGAUCUUAAACGGCAGACCUAUUUCCUCACAGAGCUGGAGGCUGCAAGUCCGAGAUCAAGGCUGGACAGGGUUGGUUCCGCUUCCGGCGAGAGCCUCUUCCUGGCUUCCAGUCGCUGCCGUCUCCUCAGGCGGCCUUUCCUCGGGGCACAGGCAGGAGGGGAGAAAUCUCUCUCCUCCUCUUCUUACAAGGCCGCGGAUCCUAUGGGCUAGGGCCCACCCUCAUGCCCUCAUUCAGCCUAACUGCCUCCUAACGGCACCACCUCCAAACCCUACCUCAGGCCGGGGGGAGCCUCAGCACAGGAGUUCCGGGGGACACGGUUCAGUCCAUAACACCCCCGGGAAGGCCACAACCACGCAGCGUAAUCCAGAAAGUUAAGAUGAUGCAAGUAAUCAGUCCAAAAAGAACUGCGACCUCCCUCACCUGCUGGGACCCUCACGUUAAGCAGGUAAAAGUGGAAAACCUCGCAUCUGGUCCAUCAUGCUGGCCUUGGCUGUGCGUUUCAUUCACGUGGUUGGUUUGUGAGAAACAGCCUGUGAAUAAAGAGGCAAAGGCUUUG